rnacentral:rRNA from 1 species
UACGUAGGGUGCGAGCGUUAAUCGGAAUUACUGGGCGUAAAGCGUGCGCAGGCGGUUUUGUAAGCCAGAUGUGAAAUCCCCGGGCUUAACCUGGGAAUGGCAUUUGGGACUGCAAGGCUUGAGUGCGGCAGAGGAGACUGGAAUUCCUGGUGUAGCAGUGAAAUGCGUAGAUAUCAGGAGGAACACCGAUGGCGGAGGCAGGUCUCUGGGCUGACACGUGACGCUCAUGCACGAAAGCGUGGG